AUAAUUAUAUAUUAUUAAUAUAUUAUUAAUGUGUAUGAAUGAGGUGGUGGCCGGAGGGGCCGUAGGAGCAGAAUGACAGCCACACUUCCGUCAGUCUGCCCCAGGGCAACUCUGGCUACAUUGGUAGUUUACCACCACCAA